GUAGAGCAAGUUCGAAAUAUGCUAUCUAAGGUUACAUUUUCCAGAAAAAAGUAUUACCAAUUUUUGUGAUCCAAAAGAAUGAAAGAUAGAGAACCAGAGGCACCCUAUCUCCUUUGAACCCACGCACAAAAAUCUUUUAAUUGUAUUAUUCUAAAAAUCGUAGACAAAACGGUCAUAACUGUCACAGCACAUUUGUUAUUCAAGAAUUCCAUGGCUACUCUUCACUGUCACUGCUUCCGCAUGCUCCCCUCUUCUCCCCCUGAUAGGAUCAAUCUGCCACUUCACCAAUUCUCUCUUCCAAAAUACCAUGGAGCUCAGGGAAGGAAGAAACUUUUGCGAUUCCGUUGCCGAUCGAGCAGCGAUAACAACGACGAGUAUUUGCUGGAUGCUCCUGUUUCAGUUGGGGACGGAUUUUCUUUUAGCGGAGGAAAAUAUUCAGACGAGCCGAGCCCCGCUGAUGAAUGGUUCAAGAAAGGAAAAUUUGUGAAAGCUCAUCCUGUAUCUGGGACUGGGGAGAAGGCAAAAGAUCCUCUUUUUGGACUUACAAUGGGUGGGGGUUCACAGGCCUCAACUGAUCUUUUCAGAUGGUUUUGUGUAGAGAGCGGAAGCACUGACAAUUCUACCAUUGUAUUAGUCCACGGAUUACCCUCACAGGCAUACUCUUACCGCAAAAUUCUUCCCAUUCUUGAGAAGAACUAUCAUGCUAUAGCAUUUGAUUGGCUGGGAUUUGGAUUCUCAGAUAAGCCCCAACCAAGAUACGGAUUUGACUACACAUUGGAUGAGUAUGUGGCAUCCUUGGAAUCUAUUCUCAAUGCUCUUACUGACAAAAAGGUUACUCUUGUAGUACAGGGAUACUUUUCACCAAUUGCGAUCAAAUAUGCUAGCAAUCACCAGGAAAAGCUAAACGGUCUUAUACUUCUCAAUCCACCACUGACAAUGCAACAUGCCGAUCUACCAUCAACCUUAUCAGUCCUGAGCAACUUUUUGUUGGGCGAAAUAUUUUGUCAGGACCCUCUUAGAGCUAGUGAUAAAACAAUGCUGAGUUGUGGUCCUUACCAAAUAAAAGAAGAUGUGGCGAUGGUUUACAGAAGACCUUAUCUCACAUCUGGUUCUGCAGGAUUUGCAUUAAAUGCAAUAAGCAAGGCAAUGAAGAAGCAACUGAAGGGCUAUGUUGAGGACUCAAGAGCAAUACUUAUGGACAAUAACUGGACAGUCCAAACAACAGUUUGCUGGGGACAAAGAGACCGCUGGUUAAGCUUUGAUGGUGUAGAAGAUUUCUGCAAAGAGUCAAAGCAUCGGUUGGUUGAACUUCCUAUGUCAGGACAUCACGUUCAGGAGGACAGUGGUGAAGAAUUAGGUCAACUCAUUGCUGGAAUUGUUGGAAAAAGAAGCAGCAUUUUGUGAUUGUGAUAAGAUCUAAUCUCUGUAUUAAAUGGCUGCUGAAAGGGAUCGACCCAACAUUGGUCUUCUCUGACAGCCUUUUUCCAUCUAUUCUUGAAUCUUUCUAAUUCGACAAGAGAUUGUUUCCGCACCUGCAAAAUUACUCUGGGUUUAUCAUAACAUGGAAGAUACACUAAGAUGUCUGAAAGACACUGGCAAUGCAAGGGCAAGCUACUAAGAGGUUCUUUUAUAUAAAAUCUAAUGGAACUUACAGCAUUUCUUGCAUCAGACGGAUGAGAUUCCGGCAGUCCCUGCAAUUAUAUUUUAGUUAAUUUCAUGCUAUUGAAGCAGUUGAUUGUUGAAAGCUAGUUACUUUUGCUACAUACUGUUUGCCCUUCGUUCGACAAGCUUUCCUUUUGAAGAGUUAUCUCUUGUGCUAAACUACUCUUCUGCAUAGAAAGACAAUAGUUAGGAUUUACUGAAAAAACAGAAGAUAGACACUUGAUCUCCUAUUCAAUUGUCCAAUGUAAGUUCAAUCCUCGUUAUUUUGCCAGA